GAUGAACGCUGGCGGCGUGCCUAACACAUGCAAGUCGAACGGACGAAACUGGUUGCUUGCAACCGGUCAAGUUAGUGGCGGACGGGUGAGUAACACGUGGGCAACCUACCUUAUGCAGGGGAAUAACAUUGAGAAAUCAGUGCUAAAACUCCGUAAGCUUAUUUCGCCGCAUGGCGAGGUGAGGAAAUAUUUAUAGGCAUAAGAUGGGCCCGCGUCUGAUUAGUUAGUUGGUGGGUAAAGGCCUACCAAGACGAUGAUCAGUAGCCGACCUGAGAGGGUGAUCGGCCACAUUGGGACUGAGACACGGCCCAAACUCCUACGGGAGGCAGCAGUGGGGGAAUAUUGCACAAUGGGGGAAACCCUGAUGCAGCAACGCCGCGUGAAGGAAGACGGUUUUCGGAUUGUAAACUUCUAUCGACAGGGAAGAUAAUGACGGUACCUGAAUAAGAAGCCCCGGCUAACUACGUGCCAACAGCAGCCGCCGUAAC
rnacentral:rRNA from 1 species